AAAGAAAUUUAAAGAAUUAAUUAUAUAUAUUGUUAAAUUCUUGAUUGUUAUAAGUGUGUAAAAUCGUAUGAGUAGAUAAGGGCCCUUUUGUUAAUAUUGGCCUUAACCCUUCAUUAGUGCCUUUCUGAGGUCUUAUGAGGGCGGCUUUUAUUAACAUUUGGAGAACUGUCUAACACAUGAGUUCUUUUCAAGCUGAGUAAGGGGCAUAUAGGUGGUGUCUUAGGUUGAGACCCUGGGUGAUGGGUUCAAAUUGGAUCUCAGAGACACUAUAGACCGUGCGUAAACCACAAUGUGGGAGUAGCCAAUAGGGGCCUAAACCUCAAUGAGGGAGUAGCCUCCGUAGUGUCACCAAAAUGAGUCCUCCCUCUCACUUACCUCUUAAUCUGGCCAUCUAGCCUUCUGAAACAAAGGGAAGUGACUUAUGUCUAGGCGACUAUCCCUAGAUCGUAUCUCACCAAUAGUAGUGGUUUCUAUUGGGCUCGACUUACAACUUGUAAUCAAUUGAGAUAUUAACUUUAUUUUGUAAAGAUAAUAAGAUACUUGAACAUAACCUCCACUUGUA
rnacentral:lncRNA from 1 species